UACGUAGGGGGCUAGCGUUGUCCGGAUUUAUUGGGCGUAAAGAGCGUGUAGGCGGCCAGAUAGGUCUGCUGUGAAAACUCGAGGCUCAACCUCGAGCUGUCGGCGGAAACCAUCCGGCUAGAGUCCGGAAGAGGAGAGUGGAAUUCCCGGUGUAGCGGUGAAAUGCGCAGAUAUCGGUAGGAACACCAGUGGCGAAGGCGGUCUCCUGGGGCAUUCUUGACGCUGAGGCGCGAAAGCUGGGGGAGCAAACGGG
rnacentral:rRNA from 1 species